rnacentral:rRNA from 1 species
GAUGAACGCUGGCGGCGUGCCUAAUACAUGCAAGUCGAACGCAGUGGGGACGGGUGGGUAACACGUGGGUAACCUCCCAUCAAAGGGGAUAACACUUGGAAACUAGUGCUAAAACCGCUAUUGAUGGAUGGUACCGCGGUGCAUUAGCUAGUUGGUGGGGUAACGGCUCACCAAGGCCACGAUGGAUAGCCGGGCUGAGAGGGGGAUCGGCCACACGGGGACUGAGAGACGGCCCAGACUCCUACGGGAGGCAGCAGUAGGGAAUCUUCGGCAAUGGACGAAAGUCUGACCGAGCAAGGCCGCGUGAGUGAAGAAGGUUUUCGGAUCGUAAAAUUCUGUUGUUAGAGAAGCGGUAUCUAAACAGAAAGCAACGGCUAACUACGUGCCAGCAGCCGCGGUAAUAC